UACGUAGGGUGCGAGCGUUGUCCGGAAUUAUUGGGCGUAAAGGGCUCGUAGGCGGUUUGUCGCGUCGGGAGUGAAAACCAGGUGCUUAACACCUGGCUUGCUUUCGAUACGGGCAGACUAGAGGUAUGCAGGGGAGAACGGAAUUCCUGGUGUAGCGGUGAAAUGCGCAGAUAUCAGGAGGAACACCGGUGGCGAAGGCGGUUCUCUGGGCAUUACCUGACGCUGAGGAGCGAAAGCGUGGGGAGCGAACAGG
rnacentral:rRNA from 1 species